UACGGAGGAUCCAAGCGUUAUCCGGAUUUAUUGGGUUUAAAGGGAGCGUAGGCGGCCAAUUAAGUCAGGGGUGAAAGACGGUGGCUCAACCAUCGCAGUGCCUUUGAUACUGAUUGGCUUGAAUGUAGUUGAGGUAGGCGGAAUGUGACAAGUAGCGGUGAAAUGGAUAGAUAUGUCGCAGAACACCGAUUGCGAAGGCAGCUGAAUGAGCUAUAAUUGACGCUGAGGCGCGAAAGCGUGGGGAUCAAACAGG
rnacentral:rRNA from 1 species